UGAGAUUCUUGCAGUCCAGGCAUCCACCAUCCAUGAUGGGCCCUUGACCUCGCCCACUCCACACCGACCCUAGGACUUGGAAGACACAAGGAACUCAUGUGAACACCAUGCUUAAACUGCAGCUAUUAUUUUACUGCAACUAAUAAAGUCCCUGUCUCUGACCCAGGAGUCUCAGAACUGGAGAUUGGCAGUGCCUCUAUUUGAAUGGAGGUCAUCUGACUCCCUUUGUAUCUUGGGUUCUGUUUUUCAAUAAAAA
rnacentral:lncRNA from 1 species